AAGGGAGCCGCCGGGAAAGCAGUCACUGAGAAGACGUGGGAUGAGAUGAACAAGGAGUACUUGAAAUUAGACGAAGCGAUCGCCGCAAAGAGCCAAGCUGCAAUGGCGGCCCAAGGAUACAUCCUACCAUAAGCCUCGCCCCUUCAGAA
rnacentral:ribozyme from 1 species